rnacentral:lncRNA from 1 species
ACGAGACUAGAGGGCAAGAAAAAGUGAGACAAAGUAGAUUUUGUAAGUUUUCUAAAUUUAUUUAAAUCCCUCAAUGUCAAUCUGCCACUCUUAGAUCUUAUCAAUAAGAUCCUUAAAUAUGCCAAGCACCUAAAGAAAAUAAUGGCACGACAUGAGAAAAUGAAAAAGGGAAAGCAAAUUGACAUUGAUGCCUCAUGUAGUUCACUAAU